CCUACGGGAGGCUGCAGUGGGGAAUAUUGCGCAAUGGGCGAGAGCCUGACGCAGCGACGCCGCGUGAGGGAUGAAGGUCUUCGGAUCGUAAACCUCUGUCAGCAGGGAAGAACGGUCACUGUGCUAAUCAGCAGUUAAUUGACGGUACCUGCAAAGGAAGCACCGGCUAACUCCGGGCCAGCAGCCGCGGUAAAACGGAGGGUGCGAGGGUUAAUCGGAAUUACUGGGCGGAAAGCGCUCGUAGGCGGUAUGUCAAGUCAAGGGUGAAAUCCCCGCGCUCAACGUGGGAACUGCCUUUGAAACUGGCAACCUGGAGUGUGUGAGAGGAUAGUGGAAUGACAGGUGUAGGAGUGAAAUCCGUAGAUAUCUGGAGGAACAUCAGUGGCGAAGGCGACUAUCUGGCACAUAACUGACGCUGAGGAGCGAAAGCGUGGGUAGCAAACAGGAUUAGAUACCCGAGUAGUC
rnacentral:rRNA from 1 species